AUUGAACGCUGGCGGCAGGCCUAACACAUGCAAGUCGAACGAGUGGCGGACGGGUGAGUAAUGUCUGGGGAACUGCCUGAUGGAGGGGGAUAACUACUGGAAACGGUGGCUAAUACCGCAUACCAUCGGAUGUGCCCAUAUGGGAUUAGCUUGUUGGUGGGGUAACGGCUCACCAAGGCGACGAUCCCUAGCUGGUCUGAGAGGAUGAGCAGCCACACUGGAACUGAGACACGGUCCAGACUCCUACGGGAGGCAGCAGUGGGGAAUAUUGCACAAUGGGCGCAAGCCUGAUGCAGCCAUGCCGCGUGUAUGAAGAAGGCCUUAGGGUUGUAAAGUACUUUCAGCGGGGAGGCGUUACCCGCAGAAGAAGCACCGGCUAACUCCGUGCCAGCAGCCGCGGUAAUUC
rnacentral:rRNA from 1 species